UUACAAGAGUACGGUGGCCGGGAAGUGCAACACAACGUUAAGUGUGAAACACUUUUACGAAGCUCGAGACAAAUUUACAAUUUGGAAAACAUUUUUACCUAUCAUAAAACACAGUUACAUGGGAAAAACACUUUUACCAAGGACGAAAAAAAUGUACAUUUUAGAAAACAAAUUAACAAGACGCAAAACACUUUUACCAGUCCCGAAACAAAUUUACGGAAGCUGUGUCCGAAAUCGCUCACUCGUUCACUCAUUCACUAAUCCCUAUAUAGUGUAAGGCAGUUGAGUGCACUAUUAGAUUAGAAAGGAGUGAACGAAAUGAAGUGAACGGAUUCGGACGGUGAGACUUGGCUGUUGCAAAAAAAUCUAAAAAAUCUAUGUACCUCAUUUUAGAAAAUAAUAUUAAUAGCAAUAACACUUGAAAUGACUAUAAUCAGCAUUAAAUACUAUUAAAAUAUUGUCAAGAGAGGAAGACACAGGGCCAGAGAACCCGAUCCCAUCUAUUGGUCAGUUACCCGACUUGCUCUCCUUUGAGGAUUUUCCAAAAAAAAACAGUUAAGAAUUUCACAUUCUUAUUUGCAGCUCAACUAUUCUGUGUGUAUGCAUAGGAUUUGACAAUUCCAUUUAUAUUAAAUUCAGGUUAAAUACCUUUCUACAAUUGGAGGACCAAACUAUGGAGAGACAGUGCGGCGAAUCAUGAGAAAAAUCACUUCCUCAGAAGUUUGGUCACGAUUUAGCCUCAAAGGAAGGAAGGGGAAGAGGAGACUUGAAGAACUCUCAGUUUAUCGAGUUCUAAUAAGUAUAAAAACAAAUCAACAGUGUCUGCAUAUAUUUUAUUGUAUACGUUCUAUUGCAUUUUCAAUUAUCAUAUAUUUAAUAUCAAGAGGCAUUGCAUUAUAGAGACAUAAUUCUACAUGAUUGCCAAUAGAAAUGGGAUGAAUACCUGUUUGUUCAAAUGUAAAGUAUACUUGUUCAUCUCUAAAAACUUUACUUAAACCAUUUAGGGGCAAUAAUGAAAUCACAACCUGGGUCUACUAGCAUGGAUGCUGAAAGCCAGAUUGCAGAGAGCCUUAAACAUGCACCAGGUCUGGUUAGGAGAAAGGCUAAUCGAUCAGUUACUCCACAUUUACAAGAUGGCUCAUUGGACCUCUUCUCAUAAUUUUAAUUUUACCUGUGCCUGCCACCCAUCAUUCUCUGUCCCUGGACUGUCUGCAUGGUUUUGACUUGUGCCUGGCGACUGGUUUCUGCGCUUGCCCUUUCCCACUGGAUUUGUUUAUCUUUAUUGGACUGUCUACCGACCUUCUCGUCUGCGCUCCCCUGUCCGCCGUGUUCUCCAGUCCCGAGUCGGCCUCAUCAGCUGGUGACCUGAUGACUGUUUCAGCUGCUUUUCUUUUGUUCAACAAAUGUUCUCAA